rnacentral:rRNA from 1 species
CACGUGACUAACCUACCCAGGAGUGGGGAGUAACUGAGGGAAACCGUUAGCUAAUACCGCAUAACACCUACGGGUCAAAGGAGCAAUUCGCUUCUGGAGGGGUCGCGGCCGAUUAGUUAGUUGGCAGGGUAAUGGCCUACCAAGACGAUGAUCGGUAUCCGGCCUGAGAGGGCGCACGGACACACUGGAACUGAAACACGGUCCAGACUCCUACGGGAGGCAGCAGUGGGGAAUUUUGCGCAAUGGGGGAAACCCUGACGCAGCAACGCCGCGUGGAGGAUGAAGUCCUUCGGGACGGUA